AAAAAUUCCCAUCUCUCUCUCUUCUUCGUCGGUUGUUCUUUCUCUCUUCUUCUUUCUCUGUUCGUCGUGCUGCUGAUGGAAGCGCUUAAUUUUGAGAAAUGUGAGGAAUGUGGAGUUAUGAUCGCGAUUGCUCUGUUUGAUAUGCACGAGGGCGGAGAGAAACGAAGUGAAGUGAAGAGAUUCAAGUGCGUUUCGAGGGAGGGGAUUUACUUGCGGAGGCUGGAGUGAUUCAUUUAUGUUGUUGUUGUUGUUGUCUAGGGAGGGGAUUGACCUCCGGAGGCUGGAGUGAUUCCAAGAGCUGUUCGUCACAUUUUCGAAACUCUCGAGUCCCAAAAAGCUGACUACAGUAUGAAAGUCACGUUCUUGGAGCUGUACAACGAAGAAGUCACAGACCUGUUAGCUCAAGAAGACUCUUCAAGAUCUUCUUCUGACGAUAAGCAGAAGAAGCAUGUUUCUCUGAUGGAAGACGGGAAAGGCUGUGUGGUUCUACGCGGUCUCGAGGAAGAAGUUGUGUACAGUGCUAACGAUAUAUACGCUCUUCUCGAACGAGGCUCAUCAAAAAGACGCACGGCGGAUACGUUGUUGAAUAAAAGAAGCAGCCGCUCUCAUUCUGUUUUUACCAUCACGGUGCAUAUUAAGGAAGAGUCUAUGGGAGAUGAGGAGUUGAUCAAAUGUGGGAAGCUUAACCUUGUGGAUCUAGCGGGCUCCGAGAAUAUUUUUCGGUCAGGGUCGAGGGAUGGUAGGGCGAGAGAAGCUGGGGAGAUUAACAAGAGCUUGCUUACGCUGGGGGCGUGUGAUCAAUGCGCUUGUGGAACAUUCUUCCCAUAUACCUUACAGGGAUAGUGAGCUGACAAGGCUUUUACAAGACUCUCUAGGAGGGAAGACAAAGACUUGUAUCAUUGCUACAAUCUCACCAUCUGCUCAUUCCUUGGAAGAAACUUUAAGCACUUUGGAUUAUGCCUAUCGUGCCAAGAACAUUAAGAACAAACCUGAGGCAAACCAGAAGUUAACCAAAGCUGUGUUGCUUAAAUACCUUUACUUGGAGCUUGAGAGAACAAAAAAAGGUUUACACACGUUACUUUCUCAUGUAUAUCAUCAGAUGAGCUAGUAGAUUUGUUAUAACUGCUGUAAAAUGGAUGCAGAUGUAAGAGCGGCAAGGGAUAGAAAAGCUUUACACACAUUACUUUCUCAUGUAUAUCAUCAGAUGAGCUAGUAGAUUUCCAAUACUGCUUCAACCAUUUUCAGUUACAUCUACAACCAAGCUCACACCAACACCUUGCAAUUCAAUUUCUCUUUGCCUAUGUAUGAUUUUCUUUCAU